rnacentral:rRNA from 1 species
UACGUAUGGGGCAAGCGUUAUCCGGAAUUAUUGGGCGUAAAGAGUGCGUAGGUGGUUACCUAAGCGCAAGGUUUGAUCUUAAGGCUCAACCUCAUUCUGCCUUGCGAGCUGGGCUACUUGAGUGCAGGAGGGGAAAGCGGAAUUCCCAGUGUAGCGGUGAAAUGCGUAGAUAUUGGGAAGAACACCGGUGGCGAAGGCGGCUUUCUGGACUGUAACUGACACUGAGGCACGAAAGCGUGGGGAGCAACCA